AAUUCGACGCAACGCGCAGAACCUUACCUAGACUUGACAUCCCGGGGAUUUUCUGGAAACAGAGAAGUGCUUUAGCAAUAAAGAACCCGGUGACAGGUGCUGCAUGGCUGUCGUCAGCUCGUGUCGUGAGAUGUUGGGUUAAGUCCCGCAACGAGCGCAACCCUCGCCUUUAGUUGCCAGCAUUCAGUUGGGCACUCUAGAGGGACUGCCGGUGUCAAACCGGAGGAAGGUGGGGAUGACGUCAAGUCCUCAUGGCCUUUAUGUCUAGGGCUACACACGUACUACAAUGGCCGGUACAAAGGGCAGCCACUCAGCGAUGAGGCGCUAAUCCCAUAAAGCCGGUCUCAGUCCGGAUCGCAGUCUGCAACUCGACUGCGUGAAGUUGGAAUCGCUAGUAAUCGUAGAUCAGAAUGUCACGGUGAAUACGUUCCCGGGUCUU
rnacentral:rRNA from 1 species